rnacentral:lncRNA from 1 species
GGGCUUGAUGACAUAUGUUGCCCAGCUACCGGUGCUACGGUUCUUUAUUCACCGCGACACACUUGGAGAAAAGGUGAGUGUCAUGCGAUUACCCGUUCUCUUCCUUGCUAAUACUUGUACAAAUUGGUUGCGCAUUCGAGCUGUGGUCGAUGUGUUCUCGAAAUUCGAAGGAACACGAUACGGUUGUCGCAGGUCUUGCAGCGAUCGCAGGAUAAUUGAUUCGUUCGUGCCUUCAACAAUUAUUAUUCAUAUGCGUUGCACCGAUGUAAAAAGAACGGCGGGAGCUUCCACGCGCCAGCAACGCAUGCACUCAACUAGUGUGAAUGUCAUCCUGUGAUAUUUGUCUCGUGCGUAGGUCUUUUUUUUUUUUUUUCUCCAUCUCUGUAUCUCUGUAGGAUGACUACGCUAUGCGCCUCUUUACCCAUGCAACACAUGGCUGCAUUUAAUUACAUUUUUACUGCUUGCACUGAGGCUUUCUCACUGCUUGUCAGAGGCUUUCAUUUGUUGCAGUGAGAUAACGAAAGCAUAUUUUUAUCACUUAAAGCUUCUUAGCAGCUCUUUUGGGAGCCGUAGAGUUGAGUCAUGCACUGUGUACGUUGUGAGCGAGCCGGUAAACAAAACCACUUUACUGCUGCUGUCGCUUUUACGGGAACCUUUAAAAUUUAACAUAUAUAUAUAUGAGUGUAUGAAUUGGCGCACCAAGCUUUCUAUACACGUCCGUUACUUUCGUUCAUGGAUCAUAUACGCAGCUUUGCAGCUGUGAUCGACAUUGUAAAAACAGCAAGAAGGCAGAUGACACAAAUAGUGUGUCUGUUAGAGCUGUUUUUAAAAUAUCAACCAACUCCAUGCACUCGUGGUGUUUACAGCUAAAACAUUUUUUUUUUUCUUGUUGCACGAGGAGCAUUUGCUUCUAAAUGUGGCAGUAACGUGAAUUGACCUCGGCCCUGAUCGCUGGCUGUGUGCAAAUUUCUCUAAUUUGUUUCACUGUACUGCUGUCUUUACAGCUUCUGGUUAUUUCCGCUGCCUGCACCGUUUAUUUGUUGUGUUUAUAGAGAUCUGGCCUGUUUCUUCCUCAUUGAAGACAAAUGAACACAAGUACUGCUUGCUGUUGGUUUGCUCAGUCUGAACCUGGUCCAUGUUUCAUGUUAUUUGAGCAGUAUUCCCACAAUACAGAUAAUAAACUCAUCAAAGUGCUGCAGAUUGAAUUAACCAUACACUAUUUUUUCAGCAAUGUGUGUGCAAAGGAAGUUCAUUCUUUCACAGCAAGGGAUGGAAGUGUGAACGUUCAUAGUGAAUUUUUAUUUUUUAAAUAAAAGGUGUUACAGCUCCA